rnacentral:rRNA from 1 species
AUGGCCUUGCCAAUUCAUUUGAUGACUGUACUUCCUAUGCCGGCGUGGGCCAUUAAAAUCAUCAAUAGGCGUUGUCGGGGGUUCAUCUGGAAGGGGGAAGAAGAAAUCAAUGGAGGUCACUGUCUAUUACCUUGGUCAAGAGUUUGUAUGCCCUUGGAACUGGGAGGUCUCGGUGUAAUUAACCUCAAGUGGUUUGGUAUGGCACUUCGUUGCAAAUGGCCUUGGUUAAGGUGGGACACGAGUGAGAGACCAUGGCAACUGCUACCGGACAGUAAUGAAAAGGAGGUUUAGGCCAUGUUCAGUGUGGCGUGUCGUGUCAGCCUAGGCAAUGGAGAGAGAGCAAAGUUCUGGACGGAUAAUUGGCUCCCCGAUGGUCAAUCGGCGUGGGUGAGAGACAUCUCUGGAGGCUUAACUCUCAUAGCCAUGGCCCAAUAUCUGAGGAUCUGGGAUAUUGUUCAGGCCACAUCUCUCACAAUUGGUUCAAGGGACCGUCUCGUCUGGAAACUCACGAAUGAUCAUCAGUUCUCGGUCAAGAGCGCGUAUCAAUUGUUCUUCCUCAGGAACAGUCGCUUUGCCUGCCACAAGCUGAUAUGGAAAUCCAAAGCGCCACCACGGUGUAAAUUUUUCAUGUGGCUGGCAGUUCACGGAAGAUGUCUGACGGCGGAUAACUUAGAGAGAAGGAACUGGCCGUCAAAUGGCACCUGCACACUAUGCUCAUCUGUCCCGGAGACUUGCUCACAUCUUUUUGUGCACUGUGACUUUACCAGGCAGGUUUGGACGAGGUUCAGGGAUUGGACAGGGGCAGAUUUCAUAAUACCGGAGGUCAAUUUCAGUUCUAUAGAGGAUUGGUGGCUGAAGGCGAGGGAGGGGAUACCAAAACCAAUGAAGAAGAACUUCGAUACUAUUGUCAUCCUUCUCCAUUGGAGGAUUUGGAAGGAAAGAAACGCGAGGAUUUUUGACAAUGUCGCUAGCUCGGCUGACAGGGUUCGGGACCUGGUAAUACAGGAUAUCCACACAUGGAGGGCAGCAGGAUGCAUUUAUGACCUGACGACGUGA